rnacentral:tRNA from 1 species
GGAGAGAUGGCUGAGAGGCCGAAAGCGGCACAUUGCUAAUGUGUUGAGCGGGUUAAACUGCUCCGGGGGUUCGAAUCCCCCUCUCUCCG